rnacentral:rRNA from 1 species
UACGUAGGGUGCAAGCGUUGUCCGGAAUUAUUGGGCGUAAAGAGCGUGUAGGCGGCCCGACCAGUCCGCUGUGAAAGUCCAGGGCUCAACCCUGGAAUGCCGGUGGAUACUGUCGGGCUAGAGUCCGGAAUGGGCGAGUGGAAUUCCUGGUGUAGCGGUGAAAUGCGCAGAUAUCAGGAGGAACACCGAUGGCGAAGGCAGGUCUCUGGGCAUUAACUGACGCUGAGGAGCGAAAGCAUGGGGAGCGAACAGG